rnacentral:rRNA from 1 species
AGCGUAUAUUAAAGUUGUUGCAGUUAAAAAGCUCGUAGUUGAAUUUCGGGAUCAGUACGUUGGUCGUGCCUUAGGUACGUACUGGUGUUACUGGUUUCUACCUUCUGACGAACCAUCAUGUCAUUAAUUUGGUGUGGCGGGGAAUCAGGACUGUUACUUUGAAAAAAUUAGAGUGUUUAAAGCAGGCUCGCGCUUGAAUACAUUAGCAUGGAAUAAUGAAAUAGGACGUUGAUCCUAUUUUGUUGGUUUCUAGGAUUGACGUAAUGAUUAAUAGGGAUAGUUGGGGGCAUUAGUAUUCAAUUGUCAGAGGUGAAAUUCUUGGAUUUAUUGAAGACUAACUACUGCGAAAGCAUUUGCCAAGGAUGUUUUCAUUAAUCAAGAACGAAAGUUAGGGGAUCGAAGACGAUCAGAUACCGUCGUAGUCUUAACCAUAAAC